rnacentral:rRNA from 1 species
AUUGAACGCUGGCGGCAGGCCUAACACAUGCAAGUCGAGCGAGCGGCGGACGGGUGAGUAAUGUCUGGGAAACUGCCUGAUGGAGGGGGAUAACUACUGGAAACGGUAGCUAAUACCGCAUCCCAUCAGAUGUGCCCAGAUUGGAUUAGCUGGUAGGUGGGGGAACGGCACACCUAGGCGCAGAUCACUAGCUGGUCUGAGAGGUGCACCAGCCACCGUGGAACUGAUACACGGUCCAGACUCCUACGGGAGGCAGCAGGGGGGAAUAUGGCACAAUGGGCGCAAGCCUGAUGCAGCCAUGCCGCGUGUGGGAAGAAGGCCUUCGGGUUGUAAAGCACUUUCAGCGGGGAGGCGUUACCCGCAGAAGAAGCACCGGCUAACUCCGUGCCAGCAGCCGCGGUAAUAC